GAUGAAGAACGGAGCGAAAUGCGAUAAGUAAUGUGAAUUGCAGAAUUCAGUGAAUCAUCGAAUCUUUGAACGCACAUUGCGCCCGCCAGUAUUCUGGCGGGCAUGCCUGUUCGAGCGUCAUUUCAACCAUCAAGCCCCCGGCUUGUGUUGGGGACCUGCGGCUGCCGCAGGCCCUGAAAACCAGUGGCGGGCUCGCUGUCACACCGAGCGUAGUAGAUUUUCAUCUCGCUCAGGGCGUGCUGCGGGUUCCGGCCGUAAAAAGCCUUAUUUACCCAAGGUUGACCUCGGAUCAGGUAGGAAGACCCGCUGAACUUAAGCAUAUCAAUAAGCGGAGGA
rnacentral:misc_RNA from 1 species